ACUGUUGACACGACAAAGUUCGUUCUACAAAGACGGGAUAUUGAAAUUUGUUGCAUAUUCAGUAUUCGCUGGGGAUAAUGUGUUUCGAAAGCAGGACAAUAUGUAGAAAAAUAACCUGUAAUUGUUUUUUUUAAAUGUAAGUAUAAUAAAAAAAAUAUUAAAAAUAAAGUCUUGUUUAAAUUUGAUUCACCCUAUGAUUUCGAGCAUGGUACCAACCGACAGCGGCAAUGCAUUUUUGCAUAAUAUUGAAUAUUGAAAACAUCGCUUCUGGUGAGUAAGAAUGUUUUAAAGAAUGUGGCAUUUCAAGCAGUGUUCCUCCCUCUUGGUUUGAACAGUGUAACUUGCGAUUGACACAGACCCGACGUCCGCAACGGAUGUUAAUAGCCCGGUUCUACAAUUAAGCCUAUUCACAGAAUAAGUUGAUCUUGGAAUAACUGCCGUUGCAACAUGUAUCCUAUUGGUUGAUGCAAUGGUAACCAACGCAACCAUCGACGUUUAUUCUAGGCCAUCAUUUGUAAAUUGAUUGGAAUCAAGGCACGCUCCUGAUCUGUACAAAUACGUGGAUGAAAAGCUGUUUGGACGCAGUCUUUCGAGGCAAUCAUGAAGGUGCCAUGCGCGGUAGUGCUCACAUUCACACUUCUAUCCUCAGUUCUUGGAUGGAUAGGCAAAGAAACCGUUGAAAUCGAUCCCGAAUAUUGCCAAAGCUCGGAUCCAUCUGUGGGAAAGCUGAAAGUUGGCGUAAGUAGGUUAGCGGGAAGGUGCGUCAAAGCGACUUGUACUCCAGGACUGAUCAUAUAUGAAGGAUGCAACGCUACAGGACCCCCACCUUGCCGAUUUGGUAAAGAGGAUCUCAGCAAAGAACAUCCCCACUGCUGUCCUCAAGCUAUUUGUUCGUAGAUGGAGGAACAUUAAAUUAGUGCAAGCAUUAUAUCAAAAAGAAGUAGAGUAGUAGACAAUAUAUGAUGAGCAAUUUUGAUUAAAAUACUGUUAUUAUUGUGAGCAUUACCUGAAAUAUAUUCCACGGCCUACUUGUA